AGUCGUAACAAGGUAACCGUAGGUGAACCUGCGGUUGGAUCAUUAACAAUGAACCGGGGCGCGGUUGAGGCGAGAGCUUCCUGCGCUCUAUACACACAUGUGCACUGGAAUGUAUUUCGGGCUCUGUUGGGCCCGGCAUUUAACAAACCCUUUUAAUACGUCUGACUUUGAGAUAAAGAGAAACAACUUUAGACAACGGAUCUCUUGGCUCUCGCAACGAUGAAGAACGCAGCGAAAUGCGAUACGUAAUGUGAAUUGCAAAUUUCCGUGAAUCAUCGAAUCUUUGAACGCAUAUUGCACUCUAUUUCGGUAGAGUAUGCCUGUUUGAGAAUCUAUAGUAUUUAUUCUAGCAUUGUCUAGAGAGGUGAGGCGUCUUUUGUGAGUGCCUUUAAAGCUAUAGCCGGAAGACCUGAGCAUGUGCUGACGCUCUGCAAGCUUUUCGAAAAGUAUUUGAAUGAACCUAGUUCUUUGAUGCUGAAUAGAUCAACGCAGGGACGAGCGUGCCGGGGCGUGCGGUCCAUAAACCAAGACGCGAGUCUGAACCAUGGUCUCAAAUCAGGUAGGAGGACCCGCUGAACUUAAGCAUAUCAAUAAGCGUAAAAGUCG
rnacentral:rRNA from 1 species